AGUUUUCUAAACUCCCACCCAUGUGAACUUACCUUUUGUUGCCUCGGCAGAAGUUAUAGGUCUUCUUAUAGCUGCUGCCGGUGGACCAUUAAACUCUUGUUAUUUUAUGUAAUCUGAGCGUCUUAUUUUAAUAAGUCAAAACUUUCAACAACGGAUCUCUUGGUUCUGGCAUCGAUGAAGAACGCAGCGAAAUGCGAUAAGUAAUGUGAAUUGCAGAAUUCAGUGAAUCAUCGAAUCUUUGAACGCACAUUGCGCCCAUUAGUAUUCUAGUGGGCAUGCCUGUUCGAGCGUCAUUUCAACCCUUAAGCCUAGCUUAGUGUUGGGAAUCUACUUCUCUUAGGAGUUGUAGUUCCUGAAAUACAACGGCGGAUUUGUAGUAUCCUCUGAGCGUAGUAAUUUUUUUCUCGCUUUUGUUAGGUGCUAUAACUCCCAGCCGCUAAACCCCCAAUUUUUUGUGGUUGACCUCGGAUCAGGUAGGAAUACCCGCUGAACUUAAGCAUAUCAAUAAGCGGAGGAAAAGAAACCAACAGGGAUUGCCUUAGUAACGGCGAGUGAAGCGGCAACAGCUCAAAUUUGAAAUCUGGCCCUUGGGUCCGAAUUGUAAUUUGUAGAGGAUGAUUUUGGUGCGGUAUCUUCCGAGUUCCUUGGAACAGGACGCCUUAGAGGGUGAGAGCCCCGUACGGUUGAAUGCCUAGCCUCUGUAAAUCUCCUUCGACGAGUCGAGUAGUUUGGGAAUGCUGCUCUAAAUGGGAGGUAAAUUUCUUCUAAAGCUAAAUAUUGGCCAGAGACCGAUAGCGCACAAGUAGAGUGAUCGAAAGAUGAAAAGCACUUUGAAAAGAGGGUUAAAUAGCACGUGAAAUUGUUGAAAGGGAAGGAUUUGUGACCAGACUUUUUCUGGGCGGAUCAUCCGGGGUUCUCUCCGGUGCACUUCGCCCAGUAAAGGCCAGCAUCGGUUUUCGGCGUGGGAUAAAAGCAGUAGGAAUGUGGCUCUCUACGGGGAGUGUUAUAGCCUAUUGUAUAAUACCGCGCUGGGACCGAGGUUCGCGCU
rnacentral:rRNA from 1 species